AAAUGUUUGAAAGUUGGAAGAAAAAAAUUAAUAUGCCGAGUCACAAUGGAAAUAGAUGAAAGGCAUAUGUUUCAUGUUGAUGAUCACAACAUUUCUGGAUGAAAGUUACAACUCUUUUUACAAGCUUUCGAAUAGAUUUCUAUGUUUUGUAUUACUUUUAGUCCGAACGAGUAUAAUAUUUUUGAAAAUUCAAAUGUUUUUUGUCGUUAUGCACUUUCAGGUAGUGUGAGAAAAUAUUUUACCCCAGGAAUACGUGUGCAUUCAGCAUACAAUAUUUGUGUCUAUUCCUGCAUGAAAAUUGAUGCACAGAUUCAUUUGCAUAGCAAGUGUAUGUCUUUUGAAUAAAGGAAAUCAAUCACAAAUACCGGAAUAGUCAUCUGUGCGAGUCAUCUGUAUUAUCGAAACUUACAUUGAAGCUGACAAGAAGGGCCAAUAUACAAUCUGAACAAAUCAAUGACUCAAACAAUUUCAAAUGUGAUAUAAAUAAAACUAAGUGUGAAGAUAAACUAGUUUGUUUUGUGGAAAAAACUACUUCAGUUUUCUUUAAAAAAAAAAUUCACUUGUUCAAUACUUGUACACAAUUUCUUUUUUCCAAGACUAUUUCUCUAUGAGACCUCAUUGCAUUUAUUGAUCAGUUCAAUAAAAUUACAGAACCUACUCAGACAUGUUUAUUUUCAUCCCCAUCUUCAACCUGUAAUAAAAGUUGUCAUUUUCCCCAAGAGUACUUGAAAAAAGCUGUUGAAUGCCCCACACUGACUAAAUUUAUUUUUUAUGAACAAGUAGAUAAUGGGUGUAAGCUGGCGUAUAUUGAAAUAUAUAGACUCUGGUCAAUUUCGCAGAUUUUUGCUAUUACGAUGAAUGAUGUGUCUACCACAGCACAUUUGAACGCACAUUUAAACUUCAGAGACAAUGUGAAAUUGGCCAGGGGGUGCAUGGCACUCAAAAUGAUUAUAAGAAUGACCAAGUGAUCUAAUUUUGAAGGUCAUUGCAACCAAUUGCAGCUUUUGUACAAAUUUUAAUAAUAAAAAAUUGCCUCAAUUAACAUAGUGGUGUUCAGCCUACGCUAUUUUUCCACUCAUCCAUGAUGCAAGUAGUAGGGGUCAGGUAGA